rnacentral:rRNA from 1 species
AUUGAACGCUGGCGGUAGGCCUAACACAUGCAAGUCGAACGCGAAAGUCCUUCGGGAUGGGUAGGAGUGGCGGGACGGGUGAGUAACGCGUAGGAAUCUAUCCUGUAGUGGGGGAUAACGUUUCGAAAGGAACGCUAAUACCGCAUACGCCCCAAGGGGGAAAGCGGGGGAGUCUUCGGACCUCGUGCUAUAGGAGGAGCCUGCGUCGGAUUAGCUAGUUGGUGAGGUAAAGGCUCACCAAGGCGACGAUCCGUAGCUGGUCUGAGAGGAUGAUCAGCCACACCGGAACUGAGACACGGUCCGGACUCCUACGGGAGGCAGCAGUGGGGGAAUAUUGCGCAAUGGGCGAAAGCCUGACGCAGCCAUACCGCGUGUGUGAAGAAGGCC